rnacentral:rRNA from 1 species
AGAUUGAACGCUGGCGGCAUGCCUUACACAUGCAAGUCGAACGGCAGCACGGGAGCAAUCCUGGUGGCGAGUGGCGAACGGGUGAGUAAUAUAUCGGAACGUGCCCAGUAAUGGGGGAUAGCCCGGCGAAAGCCGGAUUAAUACCGCAUACGACCUACGGGUGAAAGCGGGGGAUCGCAAGACCUCGCGUUAUUGGAGCGGCCGAUAUCAGAUUAGCUUGUUGGUGGGGUAAAAGCCUACCAAGGCGACGAUCUGUAGCUGGUCUGAGAGGACGACCAGCCACACUGGGACUGAGACACGGCCCAGACUCCUACGGGAGGCAGCAGUGGGAAUUUGGACAAUGGGCGAAAGCCUGAUCCAGCAUGCCGCGUGUGGGAGAAGGCCUCGGUUGUAACCACUUUGUCAGGAAGAACGGCCUUACUAACUACUAGGACUAAUGACGGUACCUGAAGAAGUAAGACAACCGGCCUAACUACGUGCCAGCAG